AGGAUUCCCCUAGUAACUGCGAGUGAAGCGGGAAAAGCUCAAAUUUAAAAUCUGGCGGUCUUUGGCUGUCCGAGUUGUAAUCUGGAGAAGUGCUUUCCGCUCUGGACCGUGUACAAGUCUCUUGGAAUAGAGCGUCAUAGAGGGUGAGAAUCCCGUCUUUGACACGGACUACCAGUGCUUUGUGAUGUGCUUUCAAAGAGUCGAGUUGUUUGGGAAUGCAGCUCAAAAUGGGUGGUAAAUUCCAUCUAAAGCUAAAUAUUGGCGAGAGACCGAUAGCGAACAAGUACCGUGAGGGAAAGAUGAAAAGCACUUUGGAAAGAGAGUUAAACAGUACGUGAAAUUGCUGAAAGGGAAACACUUGAAGUCAGUCGCGUUGUUCAGAACUCAGCCUKGCCUUGGCUUGGUGCAUUUUCUGAAUGACGGGCCAGCAUCAAUUUUGACUGUCGGAUAAAGGCCAGAGAAAUGUGGCUCCUUUGGGAGUGUUAUAGUCUUUGGUUGCAUACGAUGGUUGGGAUUGAGGAACUCAGCAUGCCUUUAUGGUCGGGGUUCGCCCACGUUCAUGCUUAGGAUGCUGGCGUAAUGGCUUUAAAUGACCCGUCUUGAAACACGGACCAAGGAGUCUAACAUGCCUGCGAGUGUUUGGGUGGAAAACCCGAGCGCGCAAUGAAAGUGAAAGUUGGGAUCUCUGUCGUGGAGAGCACCGACGCCCGGACCAGACCUUCUGUGACGGAUCCGCGGUAGAGCAUGUAUGUUGGGACCCGAAAGAUGGUGAACUAUGCCUGAAUAGGGUGAAGCCAGAGGAAACUCUGGUGGAGGCUCGUAGCGAUUCUGACGUGCAAAUCGAUCGUCAAAUUUGGGUAUAGGGGCGAAAGACUAAUCGAACC
rnacentral:rRNA from 1 species